rnacentral:rRNA from 1 species
CAAUAGCGUAUAUUUAAGUUGUUGCAGUUAAAAAGCUCGUAGUUGGAUUUCGGUUGAGAACGGCCGGUCCGCCGUUUGGUGUGCACUGGCUGGUUUCAACUUCCUGUAGAGGACGUACUCUGGGUUAACGCUCGGAUACGGAGUCUACGUGGUUACUUUGAAAAAAUUAGAGUGUUCAAAGCGGGCUUACGCUUGAAUAUUUCAGCAUGGAAUAACACUAUAGGACUCCUGUCCUAUUUCGUUGGUCUCGGGACGGGAGUAAUGAUUAAGAGGAACAGUUGGGGGCAUUCGUAUUUCAUUGUCAGAGGUGAAAUUCUUGGAUUAACGGAAGAUGAACUACUGCGAAAGCAUCUGCCAAGGAUGUUUUCAUUGAUCAAGAACGAAAGUUAGGGGAUCGAAGACGAUUAGAUACCAU